rnacentral:rRNA from 1 species
GUAGGGGUCCAAGCGUUAAUCGGGAAUUACUGGGGCGUAAAGCGUGCGCAGGCGGUUGUGCAAGACCGAUGUGAAAUCCCCGGGGCUUAACCUGGGAAUUGCAUUGGUGACUGCACGGCUAGAGUGUGUCAGAGGGGGGUAGAAUUCCACGUGUAGCAGUGAAAUGCGUAGAGAUGUGGAGGAAUACCGAUGGCGAAGGCAGCCCCCUGGGAUAACACUGACGCUCAUGCACGAAAGCGUGGGGAGCAAACAGGAUUAGAUACCCUGGUAGUCCACGCCCUAAACGAUGUCAACUAGUUGUUGGGGAUUCAUUUCCUUAGUAACGUAGCUAACGCGUGAAGUUGACCGCCUGGGGAGUACGGUCGCAAAGAUUA